UACAGAGGGGGCGAGCGUUAUUCGGAAUUAUUGGGCGUAAAGGGCGCGUAGGCGGCCUUUCAAGUGACGGGUGAAAUCCCUCGGCUUAACCGGGGAACUGCGUCUGAUACUGGAUGGCUUGAGUUUGGGAGAGGGAUGCGGAAUUCCAGGUGUAGCGGUGAAAUGCGUAGAUAUCUGGAGGAACACCGGUGGCGAAGGCGGCAUCCUGGACCAACACUGACGCUGAGGAGCGAAAGCCAGGGGAGCAAACGGG
rnacentral:rRNA from 1 species